AAUCUCUCUCUAUCACUUACACAAUCUUUCUCUGUCUCUCUUGGUUAUCUCCAUAUUAAGGUAAGGGGGUCUUCUAUCAUCAGGAAAACAUAAGGUAGAUGAGCACAAACGAUGGCUUAUUUAGGUGGAUUUGCAAAUCUUUUCACUCUUUAGGGCAUAUUCCAAUCAACUACUGCUUGAAAUUUGACUGAUCAAUGUGAUGCAAAAUUCACGGCA
rnacentral:precursor_RNA from 1 species